UACAGAGGGUGCAAGCGUUAAUCGGAAUUACUGGGCGUAAAGCGUGCGUAGUCGGUUAUCUAAGUCGGGUGUGAAAUCCCCGGGCUCAACCUGGGAAUUGCAUUCGAUACUGGAUAGCUAGAGUUCGGCAGAGGGAAGCGGAAUUUCGGGUGUAGCGGUGAAAUGCGUAGAUAUCCGAAGGAACAUCAGUGGCGAAAGCGGCUUCCUGGACCAGAACUGACGAUCAGGCACGAAAGCGUGGGAGCAAACAGG
rnacentral:rRNA from 1 species